CAGUGACUGCGAGGGUUCCCCCGCGCCAGUCCCGCGGGAGCGACUCCGGGGACGCGGUGGCUGCUCGUGAAGCCUCCGCCCUACCGGGGUGGGACGCGUGUCCCGCCCGGAGCCGUGCCGGGGUUCAUCUGUGCAAGUCGGAGGCAAAAAUGUCCGUUGCGGCGUUUUAAAUUCAAACGGACUGACCCUCCGUCACGGCGAGUCCCGGGGGUGCAGGGCCUGGGCCCCUCGGCACGCCUGACACCGCCGUGCUCGCCCUGCUGGGAGGGCUGCCCCAGAAAACCCGGCUUCUUGCAAGUAUUCAAGAGCAGCAGCAGUGGCAGCAUGAGAACCGCCAGCGCCCUGCAGCUUUUUCUCUCUUGGAUCCUGCUGGUGUGGGAGUGAGCAAGUGGCUGUGUGUGUCUUGGUUGCUGACUGGGGUGAAACCAUGACAGGAACAAAGCUGUUGCUGUGACACAGAGGAACAAUUGCUGAGACCUGGGGUAAAGACUGUCUUCCUAAUUCUAGUGCAGAAGACCAUCACGAAUGGUUAUUUACACACCAAAGGACUAAAGAGGAAAUAGUAGAAAGCAACAAGAAAAUCAUUAGAAAACAUCAAAAAUACAGCCAGGUGCCAUGAAUGUGAAAGAAGCUCACUAGAGAAAAGCCCCAAACCACAGAA